rnacentral:rRNA from 1 species
UACAGAGGUCUCAAGCGUUUGUUCGGAUUCAUUGGGCGUAAAGGGUGCGUAGGCGGCGCGGUAAGUCGGGGUGUGAAAUCUCGGAGCUUAACUCCGAAACUGCAUUCGAUACUGCCGUGCUUGAGGACUGGAGAGGAGACUGGAAUUCAUGGUGUAGCAGUGAAAUGCGUAGAGAUCAUGAGGAAGACCAGUGGCGAAGGCGGGUCUCUGGACAGUUCCUGACGCUGAGGCACGAAGGUCAGGGGAGCAAACGGG